rnacentral:rRNA from 1 species
UACGGGGGGGGCAAGCGUUGUUCGGAAUUACUGGGCGUAAAGGGCUCGUAGGCGGCCAACUAAGUCAGACGUGAAAUCCCUCGGCUUAACCGGGGAACUGCGUCUGAUACUGGAUGGCUAGAGGUUGGGAGAGGGAUGCGGAAUUCCAGGUGUAGCGGUGAAAUGCGUAGAGAUGCGGAGGAACACCGAUGGCGAAGGCAGCCCCCCUGGGCUAACACUGACGCUCAGGCACGAAAGGCGUGGGGAGCAAACAGGAUUACGAAACCCCGAGUAAG